rnacentral:rRNA from 1 species
UACAGGAGGGGGCAAGCGUUGUUCGGAAUUACUGGGCGUAAAGGGCGCGUAGGCGGCCUUCUAAGUCGAACGUGAAAUCCCCGGGCUCAACCCGGGAACUGCGUCCGAUACUGGAAGGCUUGAAUCCGGGAGAGGGAUGCGGAAUUCCAGGUGUAGCGGUGAAAUGGCGUAGAUAUCUGGAGGAACACCGGUGGCGAAGGCGGCAUCC